rnacentral:rRNA from 1 species
GACGAACGCUGGCGGCGUGCUUAACACAUGCAAGUCGAACGGAAAGGCCUUUUCGGAGGUACUCGAGUGGCGAACGGGUGAGUAACACGUGGGUGAUCUGCCCUGCACUCUGGGAUAAGCCUGGGAAACUGGGUCUAAUACCGGAUAGGACCGCACUUUAGUGUGUGUGGUGGAAAGUUUUUUCGGUGUAGGAUGAGCCCGCGGCCUAUCAGCUUGUUGGUGGGGUAAUGGCCUACCAAGGCGGCGGCGGGGAGCCGGACUGAGAGGGUGGUCGGCCACAGUGGGGCUGAGAGACGGCCCAGAGUCCCACGGGAGGCAGAAGGGGGGAAUAUUGCACAAUGGGCGCAAGCCUGAUGCAGCGACGCCGCGUGGGGGAUGACGGCCUUCGGGUUGUAAACUCCUUUCGCCAGGGACGAAGCGUUUUGUGACGGUACCUGGAGAAGAAGCACCGGCUAACUACGUG